rnacentral:misc_RNA from 1 species
GAAAGGAAGCACUCACGCACGUGAUACACAAACUAAACACACACACACAUAUAUGUGUGUGUAGAAGGAGAGCAAUUUUCAUUUUUUUCUGCUGUGGUCUACAAAAAAAGGGGUGCAAUAAGUAAAAGAAAUCGUAACGUACAAGUGUGCUCCGUUGUCUGUGGUUGUCUGCUGCCCCUCCCUCCUCCUCCCUCUCCCUAUCCCCUCCCGCUCAUCUCUGUUCCUUCUGUGUUUUUAUGAUUUAUCCUCUUCUCCCAUUCUUUCCCUUUUCGUAUUUCUUUUCGCUCCUGUACGAACAGUGAUGCAAGCCACGAACCGCUAUACCAGCAAGUCGCAUGCCACGGCGGCGGCUGGUGGCAGUGAGGACGCGGCCGGUGGCUCAGGUCGCGAUGAUGCGCAGAACACUACGGCCGCCAGCUCGGACUGGAGCGUGAGGCCGUCCGACGACACCGCCGCUGAGCCAACCUCGGUGCAGACAAACAGUCUAUCUCGCCUUAACCCCGCAGCCACUCCGUUCAGUUUCACGGGUGUCGGCGCGGCUGCCGCUGCAGUGGCGGCGUCCGGUGGCGAUAUCACCGGAGGCAGCAGCAUCUCGUCGCCGCACCACCACACAGCCAUGACGUCUGGUGCCGGCAUCGACGGUGGGGUGUCAGGAAUGGCCGGUGGAGGUCGCGGGAUGGGCAGCAUGCUAAACACCAAAACGGCAGCGAGUGGCAUGGACAUUAACAGUCCGAACUCCUAUAGCAUGGUUCAGGCACAGGGAAUGAUGGGGAUGAUGCCGUAUAUGAUGUCCGGCGGCAGUGCCGGUGGUGCCGGCGGUGGCGGCCACGGUGUCAUGGGUAGCGGCCGCAUGGGCACCGGCAGCCCGAACAGCUUCCUCCCUCCUCCCGGCGAGGACACAGAUCAGCAGGAACUGAUGCGGCUGCAGCAGACGAACUACCGCGUCAAGAUGCUGCCGCCACCGUUGACGUACGAGGUGCACCGCAAGAUAUGGUCGAGGAACGAGUACGGCGACGAGGACGACAACGAAGAGGAUGACGUGCACGGCCCCGGCCACGGCGGUGCUGGAGGCAACGUCGAUCAGGAGCACGAGAGCAGCGGUGGGGGCAGCAUUGCCAACGAGGACCCCAUCGAUAAAGAGCAGCGUUUGGAGGCGUACAAGCAGAUCAUGCUGCGCUGGUACAGCCACAUCCACGUCCUGGAAGGGAAGCCUGAGGUGGCGAAGCGCCUUGUGCGCGUGCGCCGGGCCUGCCCGAGUAUGGAGGAGGUGGUAUACAGCCUAACACACCCGCAGCAGCCAGGUGCUGCCCUGGAGACGGAGGCGGGUGGCGAUGAUGAGCCCACCCCGACAGCGGUCCCGCCUACGCUGAUGGCCGCCGCGGCGCGCCGCGGUUCAGAUGGGAUGCCGGACAUGGAGGAGAUCCUUGCUACGUGGUCUUCCCGCUGCUGGAACUGGUGGCAGGAAACCGUGAAGCGCAAGCCACGGCGUGCGCGCAAGCAGGGCGAGCUGCCGAUCGCGGGCGGCAACGGCGCUUCGGGCACGAACAUGCCGACGACGGCGUUGCCGUUGGCCGGCAUGGCCAAUGGCGCCGUGAUGCCGCGCAACCCCUCCUCGCGCAACAUGGACAUGGGAGACUCCGCAGUGCCACCCCCGCCACCGCACUUGACCGGCGGUGGAGGCGGUCCCUACACAUACCCAAGCUCAUACGCGAACCACGACGGCUCCGGGACGGCUGGCGGCAUGCCUGUAGUGCCAUCCUACAAGUCCUUCACCGACCUCUCUGAGGAGGGCAUGGACGGCCCGGCUGCCACGUCGGGGUCACUCAGCCACUACUCACCUCACCAUAACGACGGUGGCUCCCUCGCGCCCUCGCAGGCCCAGCCAUCGCAUCCGGCACUCCCCCAUGACGCCUCCCCGAUGGCGUCGAUGUUCACUGUGAACGGCCCUCGCACCGCAACUCUGCGUGGGACGUCCGAGGAUUUCUUAGAGAAUGACCACCUCACCCUCGCCUUCACCACGGAGCUGCUCAAGUCUCUGGAGGAGUAGUGAGUAGAGACGGAAGCACCUCCAGCAGCGAAGAGCACGCCACCGACGUGUUUCUCAGGCUGAAGGUGAAGUGGGAAUGAGACGUAACGUGUGGCCGCUGGAGUGUAUCGGAGAGGGAGAAGCCAGAAAAGCGUUUGCAACCUCGUGUGAGCGCGCCACGCCUGAUGCCCCCUGUGUGUUUUGUAUGUUUGUAUUUCCACGUACCUACAUGAAAAAAAAAUAAGAAAGAAAACAUUUUUCACCGAUAAAGUAGUAAAGGCAGGUCUUUUUUCCGGUGUAUGCAUGCCUGUGUGCAUGUGCAUGUGUGUGUGUGUGUGUGUGGCUGCGUAUUGCCUUUCUUCUUUGUUGUUGUGUGUAACGCCUCUCCUUCCGUUUAUUUGUUUGUUUCCCGCCUGUUCCGAGACUUCUAUCUCUAAAUGCGAAAGCACCAGACUCCUCCUCCUCCCCCAACCCCACCCAGCUCCACCCACCUCCUUUGUCCUAAGGGGAGAGAGGGACAGCAUCCUCCUCUCUCCCUCCCUCCCUCCCUCUAUCGCAUUCCCUUCCAUAUGCGUAUAGCAGCAGCUCCGAGCUUCUCUUUUCGCUUGUGUGUUUGUGUGUGCGUGUUCGAGUGCACGGAUGACACCGGCGGUGCUUCCAACCAUGAUGCCGCGUAAGGCGUCGGCCAGUGAAAGCGCCUGCUAUCUAUCUAUCUAUAUAGAUAGAACACUUCAACGAAGACACUGUACUUAUCAGACCUUGCUAUGUGAUGUGUGUGUGUGUGUGUGUGUGCAGGUGCCGGUGCCGGAGGUGAGGCGACUACCUUAUCUUUCUCUGUGCGAUGUUGCUGUAGUUCGUAGAUGCUUUGCUG